rnacentral:tmRNA from 1 species
GGGGCCGAGAUGGUUUCGACCGGUCAGGGAAGGUUUGGCGUGGCGAGCCGAGGAGCAUGCGGGCCUCGUAAAAAGCAUGCAACACAUUAAUUGCUAAUAACAAUUACGCUCUCGCGGCCUAAUUUAGGUCCGCACGAUCCCCGCCUCACGCCCGAUAGGGUGGGGAUCGAAAAACUUCGGGCUGGUCCAUGUGUGUUGCCUCCAGGCACACGGACGAGACAACUCUGAGGGCUGGGCCAGGGUGUAUGCCGGUGGCGGCGGACACCGUGGCCGAGAUUAAAUCGCCACACACGCUCGUAGAAGCGCCAAACUGACUGAUCCGACACUGGGGUUCGAUUCCCCACGGCUCCAUUU